CCUUAAUAUAAAUCCUGGACCCCAGAAUUCUUACUUUCUCUUCUGAGGAACGCAACCUGUGACAGAGAAUCACUGAUCCUUUAUUGAUGAGAGUCUGGGUCACUCCAGCAGGACCAGAGUACAAGAUUAAGGAGAUUGAUGUUCCUCCAUGUUAUGUUAACCGUGGACCAAACAAAAUACCUUUCUUCUUCUGCCUCCUUGGGCACUGAGAUGUCACAGAUGCUGUAAAGGUUCAGGAGCUUGGAUAGGGCAUUGAUCUUUAAAACACUCUCAUCAUCACGGAGCAAACCAAACAAAAUUAUCUCUCUUGUUUGUGAAGCCAAAUGGGGUAUUAACUGCUACAGGAUCAGAAAAUCAUUUCCAACAAAGACUAUUCAAAAGGAUAUUCACAGAUAAGUGGCGUUGCAUAUCAUAAUUCAAGUCUGCAUUUCAAGCUGAGGAAGAACUAAAGUAAGCUGGAAGAAUCUCUUCUUUAGGACCACUGAGAGUUUAAAGAGUCUCUGGAGACACAAGAUCAUAAAAUUAUUUCACAGUGA